AUUGAACGCUGGCGGCAGGCCUAACACAUGCAAGUCGAGCGGAGCGGCGGACGGGUGAGUAAUGCCUAGGAAUCUGCCUGGUAGUGGGGGAUAACGUCCGGAAACGGGCGCUAAUACCGCAUACUAUCAGAUGAGCCUAGGUCGGAUUAGCUAGUUGGUGGGGUAAAGGCCUACCAAGCCGACGAUCUCUAGCUGGUCUGAGAGGAUGACCAGCCAAACGGUGAUGGAGUGACGGCCCAGACUCCUACGGGAGGCAGCAGUGGGGAAUCUUCCGCAAUGGACGAAAGUCUGACGGAGCAACGCCGCGUGAGUGAUGACGGCCUUCGGGUUGUAAAGCUCUGUUAAUCGGGACGCGGUACCGGAAUAGAAAGCCACGGCUAACUACGUGCCAGCAGCCGCGGUAAUAC
rnacentral:rRNA from 1 species